rnacentral:lncRNA from 1 species
GAGGGGGACGCGUGCCGGGCGGCUUCCGGGGUCCCGGACUGCGGGCAGCCGGGCUCCGGGGCCGGCAUGGUGAAAGCGAGGGGGCCGGCCGCCGCGCGCGCCCCGCGUGCCCCCGCGCCUGACGCUGGGCCCGUCAGGAAGCCGAGACGGAAGAAAAGGGCCUGGAGGAGCAAAGCGCGAGAAGCCGGUGGGGCGCCGGGGAACGACCCCGGAGUGGUCGCGGUGCGGCCCCCAAAGGCCCCGGAGGACUUUUCCCCGAACUGGAAGGCGCUGCAGGAGCUGCUGAAACAAAGAUCACAGACUCCACAAGAGCCUCCACUUCUCUCUCAAACGGAUUCCAAAAAGCAGCCACAGCAUGUCCAACAAAGUAGAAACUCGAUCUCAGAUAAAGCAAAGAGAGAUGCGAUGGGGACGGAAAACACAGACCCUGAGGUCACAGGGUCCUCUGGGCCCUCGGGAUCACUGAAUAGCAGGAAGAUACAGGCGCAGCCCAAGGAGAAAGGGGCCGAGAAAAGGACCAGUGGUGACAUUUCUCGGCAGCAAGGCGACAUCAAACAUAAGAAGCGGAAAGCUGAGGAGCCGACUGCCCCCUUGCCUCCAGCCCUGCCCACCAAAGAGGACAUCUGGUUUGACGAUGUUGACCCAGCGGACAUCGAAGCGGCCAUCGGCCCAGAGGCAGCCAGCGUAGCGAGGCGGCAGCUGGGUCAGAGCGAGAGCAGCACCACGCUGGUGAAGGAGCGGCCCUUCGGCGGGCUGACUAAAGCCUUAGCCAUGGACUGCGAGAUGGUGGGCGUGGGCCCCAAGGGGGAGGAGAGCAUCGUGGCCCGCGUGUCCCUGGUGAACCAGCACGGGUGGUGCGUGUACGACAAGCACGUGAAGCCGACGCAGCCGGUGACUGACUACAGGACCGCCGUCAGCGGCAUCCGGCCCGCGGACCUGGCGCAGGGAGAAGAGUUUGAAGUUGUUCAGAGGGAAGUCGCGGACCUGCUCAAGGGCCGGAUUCUGGUUGGACACGCGCUGCACAACGACCUCAAGGCGCUGUUUCUGGGCCACCCAAAGAAGAAGAUCCGGGACACUCAGAAGUACAAGCCUUUCAGGACCCAAGUGAAGAGUGGACGGCCGUCUCUGAAGCUGCUUGCAGAGAGAAUCCUGGGGAUCCAGGUGCAGCAGGCGGAGCACUGUUCAGUAAGCACGUCCUGGGUGAUGGGGCGACGGGGGCGACGGGCCUCCGGGUCCCGGGUGACGGGGCGACGGGCCUCUGGGUCCUGGGUGACGGGGGUGAGGGGCCUCCGGGUCCUGUCUAGAUUGCAGACCCCCAAGGGCUGA